rnacentral:rRNA from 1 species
UAAGCCAUGCAUGUCUAAGUAUAAGCAAUUAUACAGCGAAACUGCGAAUGGCUCAUUAUAUAAGUUAUCGUUUAUUUGAUAGUACCUUACUACUUGGAUAACCGUGGUAAUUCUAGAGCUAAUACAUGCUGAAAAUCCCGACUUCGGAAGGGAUGUAUUUAUUAGAUUAAAAACCAAUGCCCUCUGGGCUCCUUGGUGAUUCAUAAUAACUUUUCGAAUCGCACGGCCUUGCGCCGGCGAUGGUUCAUUCAAAUUUCUUCCCUAUCAACUUUCGAUGUUUGGGUAUUGGCCAAACAUGGUUGCAACGGGUAACGGAGGGUUAGGGCUCGACCCCGGAGAAGGAGCCUGAGAAACGGCUACUACAUCCAAGGAAGGCAGCAGGCGCGCAAAUUACCCAAUCCCGAUUCGGGGAGGUAGUGACAAUAAAUACUGAUACAGGGCUCUUUUGGGUCUUGUAAUUGGAAUGAGUACAAUUUAAAUCUCUUAACGAGGAACAAUUGGAGGGCAAGUCUGGUGCCAGCAGCCGCGGUAAUUCCAGCUCCAAUAGCGUAUAUUAAAGUUGUUGUGGUUAAAAAGCUCGUAGUUGAACCUUGGGCCUGGCUGGCCGGUCCGCCUCACCGCGUGCACUGGUCCGGCCGGGUCUUUCCCUCUGUGGAACCUCAUGCCCUUCACUGGGUGUGGCGGGGAAACAGGACUUUUACUUUGAAAAAAUUAGAGUGCUCCAGGCAGGCCUAUGCUCGAAUACAUUAGCAUGGAAUAAUACAAUAGGACGUGUGGUUCUAUUUUGUUGGUUUCUAGGACCGCCGUAAUGAUUAAUAGGGACAGUCGGGGGCAUCAGUAUUCAAUUGUCAGAGGUGAAAUUCUUGGAUUUAUUGAAGACUAACUACUGCGAAAGCAUUUGCCAAGGAUGUUUUCAUUAAUCAGGAACGAAAGUUAGGGGAUCGAAGACGAUCAGAUACCGUCGUAGUCUUAACCAUAAACUAUGCCGACUAGGGAUCGGACGAUGUUAUUUUUUGACGCGUUCGGCACCUUACGAGAAAUCAAAGUGCUUGGGCUCCAGGGGGAGUAUGGUCGCAAGGCUGAAACUUAAAGAAAUUGACGGAAGGGCACCACCAGGGGU